rnacentral:tRNA from 1 species
GCUGGUGUAGCUCAAUGGCAGAGCUUUUGCCUUGUAAGCAGAGGGUUGUGGGUUCGAUCCCCACCGCCAGCU